rnacentral:rRNA from 1 species
CCCAGACUCCUACGGGAGGCAGCAGUGGGGGAUAUUGCACAAUGGGGGGAACCCUGAUGCAGCGACGCCGCGUGGGUGAAGGAGCGUUUCGGCGCGUAAAGCCCUAUCGGCAGGGAAGAAGGAGGACGGUACCUGACUAAGAAGCCCCGGCUAACUACGUGCCAGCAGCCGCGGUAAUACGUAGGGGGCAAGCGUUAUCCGGAUUUACUGGGUGUAAAGGGGGCGCAGACGGCAGCGCAAGCCAGGAGUGAAAGCCCGGGGCCCAACCCCGGGACUGCUCUUGGAACUGCGCGGCUGGAGUGCAGGAGGGGCAGGCGGAAUUCCUGGUGUAGCGGUGAAAUGCGUAGAUAUCAGGAGGAACACCGGUGGCGAAGGCGGCCUGCUGGACUGCGACUGACGUUGAGGCCCGAAAGCGUGGGGAGCAAACAGGAUUAGAUACCCCAGUAU